CCUACGGGAGGCAGCAGUGAGGAAUAUUGGUCAAUGGCCGCAGGGCUGAACCAGCCAAGUCGCGUGAGGGAUGACGGUCCUAUGGAUUGUAAACCUCUUUUGUCAGGGAGCAAAGGGCGCCACGUGUGGCGCUUUGCGAGUACCUGAAGAAAAAGCAUCGGCUAACUCCGUGCCAGCAGCCGCGGUAAUACGGAGGAUGCGAGCGUUAUCCGGAUUUAUUGGGUUUAAAGGGUGCGCAGGCGGAAUGUCAAGUCAGCGGUAAAAUUUCGGGGCUCAACCCCGUCGUGCCGUUGAAACUGGCGUUCUUGAGUGAGCGAGAAGUAUGCGGAAUGCGUGGUGUAGCGGUGAAAUGCAUAGAUAUCACGCAGAACUCCGAUUGCGAAGGCAGCAUACCGGCGCUCAACUGACGCUCAUGCACGAAAGCGUGGGUAUCGAACAGGAUUAGAUACCCCAGUAGUA
rnacentral:rRNA from 1 species